AAAUUUGAGUCCAGGUUAACAGAGCAAACCGGGGGAACUGAAACAUCUAAGUACCCCGAGGAGAAGAAAUCAACCGAGAUUCCGGUAGUAGCGGCGAGCGAACCUGGAUUAGCCCUUAAGCACUCGGUGAAGUAGGUGAACAAGCUGGAAAGCUUGGCGAUACAGGGUGAUAGCCCCGUAACCGACGCUUCAUCGAGCGUGAAAUCGAGUAGGGCGGGACACGUGAUAUCCUGUCUGAAUAUGGGGGGACCAUCCUCCAAGGCUAAAUACUCCUGACUGACCGAUAGUGAACCAGUACCGUGAGGGAAAGGCGAAAAGAACCCCUGUGAGGGGAGUGAAAUAGAACCUGAAACCGUGUACGUACAAGCAGUAGGAGCACCUUCGUGGUGUGACUGCGUACCUUUUGUAUAAUGGGUCAGCGACUUAUAUUCAGUGGCAAGGUUAACCGUAUAGGGGAGCCGUAGCGAAAGCGAGUCUUAACUGGGCGCUCAGUCUCUGGAUAUAGACCCGAAACCGGGUGAUCUAGCCAUGGGCAGGUUGAAGGUUGAGUAACAUCAACUGGAGGACCGAACCGACUAAUGUUGAAAAAUUAGCGGAUGACUUGUGGCUAGGGGUGAAAGGCCAAUCAAACUCGGAGAUAGCUGGUUCUCCCCGAAAGCUAUUUAGGUAGCGCCUCGGACGAAUACUACUGGGGGUAGAGCACUGUUAAGGCUAGGGGGUCAUCCCGACUUACCAACCCUUUGCAAACUCCGAAUACCAGUAAGUACUAUCCGGGAGACACACGGCGGGUGCUAACGUCCGUCGUGGAGAGGGAAACAACCCAGACCGCCAGCUAAGGUCCCAAAGUAUUGCUAAGUGGGAAACGAUGUGGGAAGGCUCAGACAGCUAGGAUGUUGGCUUAGAAGCAGCCAUCAUUUAAAGAAAGCGUAAUAGCUCACUAGUCGAGUCGGCCUGCGCGGAAGAUGUAACGGGGCUAAGCAAUACACCGAAGCUGCGGCAAUAUCUUUUAGAUAUUGGGUAGGGGAGCGUUCUGUAAGCCGUUGAAGGUGAAUCGUAAGGUUUGCUGGAGGUAUCAGAAGUGCGAAUGCUGACAUGAGUAACGACAAAGGGGGUGAAAAACCUCCUCGCCGGAAGACCAAGGGUUCCUGUCCAACGUUAAUCGGGGCAGGGUGAGUCGACCCCUAAGGUGAGGCCGAAAGGCGUAAUCGAUGGGAAACGGGUUAAUAUUCCCGUACUUCUGACUAUUGCGAUGGGGGGACGGAGAAGGCUAGGUGGGCCAGGCGACGGUUGUCCUGGUUCAAGUGCGUAGGCUUGAGAGUUAGGUAAAUCCGGCUCUCUCUAAGGCUGAGACACGACGUCGAGCUGCUACGGCAGUGAAGUCAUUGAUGCCAUGCUUCCAGGAAAAGCCUCUAAGCUUCAGAUAGUCAGGAAUCGUACCCCAAACCGACACAGGUGGUCGGGUAGAGAAUACCAAGGCGCUUGAGAGAACUCGGGUGAAGGAACUAGGCAAAAUGGUACCGUAACUUCGGGAGAAGGUACGCUCUUGAUGGUGAAGUCCCUCGCGGAUGGAGCUGACGAGAGUCGCAGAUACCAGGUGGCUGCAACUGUUUAUUAAAAACACAGCACUGUGCAAAAUCGCAAGAUGACGUAUACGGUGUGACGCCUGCCCGGUGCCGGAAGGUUAAUUGAUGGGGUUAGCGCAAGCGAAGCUCUUGAUCGAAGCCCCGGUAAACGGCGGCCGUAACUAUAACGGUCCUAAGGUAGCGAAAUUCCUUGUCGGGUAAGUUCCGACCUGCACGAAUGGCGUAAUGAUGGCCACGCUGUCUCCACCCGAGACUCAGUGAAAUUGAAAUCGCUGUGAAGAUGCAGUGUACCCGCGGCUAGACGGAAAGACCCCGUGAACCUUUACUACAGCUUGGCACUGAACAUUGAACCUACAUGUGUAGGAUAGGUGGGAGGCUAUGAAGACGUGACGCCAGUUGCGUUGGAGCCGUCCUUGAAAUACCACCCUUGUAUGUUUGAUGUUCUAACUUAGACCCAUUAUCUGGGUUGAGGACAGUGCCUGGUGGGUAGUUUGACUGGGGCGGUCUCCUCCCAAAGAGUAACGGAGGAGCACGAAGGUGGGCUAAUCACGGUUGGACAUCGUGAGGUUAGUGCAAUGGCAUAAGCCCGCUUAACUGCGAGAAUGACGGUUCGAGCAGGUGCGAAAGCAGGUCAUAGUGAUCCGGUGGUUCUGUAUGGAAGGGCCAUCGCUCAACGGAUAAAAGGUACUCCGGGGAUAACAGGCUGAUACCGCCCAAGAGUUCAUAUCGACGGCGGUGUUUGGCACCUCGAUGUCGGCUCAUCACAUCCUGGGGCUGAAGUCGGUCCCAAGGGUAUGGCUGUUCGCCAUUUAAAGUGGUACGCGAGCUGGGUUUAGAACGUCGUGAGACAGUUCGGUCCCUAUCUGCCGUGGGCGUUGGAAGAUUGAAGGGGGCUGCUCCUAGUACGAGAGGACCGGAGUGGACGAACCUCUGGUGUUCGGGUUGUGUCGCCAGACGCAUUGCCCGGUAGCUAAGUUCGGAAUUGAUAAGCGCUGAAAGCAUCUAAGCGCGAAGCGAGCCCUGAGAUGAGUCUUCCCUGAUACUUUAAGUAUCCUAAAGGGUUGUUCGAGACUAGAACGUUGAUAGGCAGGGUGUGUAAGCGUUGUGAGGCGUUGAGCUAACCUGUACUAAUUGCCCGUGAGGCUUAACCA
rnacentral:rRNA from 1 species